ensembl:lncRNA
GGGAAGUCCCCCUGAGAUACUUUUGAUAACAGGAUGAGGUGCCUCUGUGGGGCACUGGAAAAAGCAGAAGUCCCUGAACUCCCACCAGAAUAAGACCCAGAGCUUAUACCCUAAACUCUCAGUCCUUCAGCACCUCAAUGGACCAAUUCACGUAGACCACCUACUUACUGCGUGCCUGGCACUACACCCUCAAGGACCUCACUAACAGUGGAGGAGAGAGAUGAGUCAGUAAUGAGAAACCAGUGUGAAGUGUGAUGUGUGUUGCAAAAAGGGGAUUUCUGGGAGCACAGGGGGACACAGGUUUGACCCCUGGUCCUGGGAGAUUCCACAUGUCACAGGGCAACAAAGCCUGUAACUGCUGAAGCCCACGUGCUCUACAGCCCGUGCUCUGC